rnacentral:rRNA from 1 species
GGGGCAGUUAAUUAAUAAUUAUUUUAAUAAAAAUAAUAAAAAAAAUAAUCCAAUACGAUUGAAAAGAUCAAGUUACCAUAGGGAUAACAGCGUAAUAAUUUUCUAAAGAUCCUAUAAAAACAAUAGUUUGCGACCUCGAUGUUGAAUUAAUUACCUAAUUAGAGCAAAAACCAAUUAAGGAAGUCUGUUCGACUUUUAAACAAUUACAUGAUUUGAGUUCAGACCGGUAUAAGCCAGGUCGGUUUCUAUCUUCUACUAUUAACUUCUUACAGUACGAAAGGACCCAAGAAAAUAA